CACGUAGGGCGCAAGCGUUGUCCGGAAUUAUUGGGCGUAAAGAGCUCGUAGGCGGUCUGUUGCGUCCGCUGUGAAAACCCGGGGCUCAACCCCGGAACGGCAUCCGAUACGGGACGGCUGGAGACCGGGAGAGGAGGGUGGAAUAGCCAGUGUAGAGGUGAAAUUCGUAGAUAUUGGCUGGAACACCGGUGGCGAAAGCGGCUCUCUGGCCCGGUUCUGACGCUGAGGCGCGAAAGCGUGGGGAGCAAACAGGG
rnacentral:rRNA from 1 species